GGCUAUAGAAGACAUAAUAAACUGGAUCCAUUCAUGAUGGAUGCAUGCGGUCGUAUUAUUGUAACGGAAGCGUUUUUGCAGAUCCAUGACAGAUCGCGGAAAAAAUGCUAAUGUAAAAGUAGCGCUAUUCACCAUAUCCUUUUCUGUAU